rnacentral:rRNA from 1 species
UACGUAGGGGGCAAGCGUUGUCCGGAUUUAUUGGGCGUAAAGAGCGUGUAGGCGGCCAGACAGGUCCGUUGUGAAAACUCGAGGCUCAACCUCGAGACGCCGAUGGAAACCGUUUGGCUAGAGUCCGGAAGAGGAGAGUGGAAUUCCUGGUGUAGCGGUGAAAUGCUUAGAUAUGACAUAGAACACCCAUUGCGAAGGCAGCUCGCUACACUAUUAUUGACGCUGGGGCACGAAAGCGUGGGGAUCAAACAGG